rnacentral:rRNA from 1 species
GCGGUCUGCUUAACACAUGCAAGUCGAACGGAACUCUUCGGAGUUUAGUGGCGGACGGGUGAGUAACGCGUGAGAAUCUGCCUUCAGGUUGGGGACAACAGUUGGAAACGACUGCUAAUACCCAAUGUGCCGCGAGGUGAAAGCUUUAGUGCCUGAAGAUGAGCUCGCGUCUGAUUAGCUAGUUGGUGAGGUAAUGGCUUACCAAGGCGACGAUCAGUAGCUGGUCUGAGAGGAUGAUCAGCCACACUGGGACUGAGACACGGCCCAGACUCCUACGGGAGGCAGCAGUGGGGAAUUUUCCGCAAUGGGCGCAAGCCUGACGGAGCAAGACCGCGUGAGGGAGGAAGGCUCUUGGGUUGUAAACCUCUUUUAUCAGGGAAGAAGAUCUGACGGUACCUGAUGAAUCAGCAUCGGCUAACUCCGUGCCAGCAGCCGCGGUAAUACGGAGGAUGCAAGCGUUAUCCGGAUUUAUUGGGCGUAAAGCGUCCGCAGGUGGUUUUUCAAGUCUGCUGUUAAAGCGCAGAGCUUAACUCUGUAACGGCGGUGGAAACUGAGAGACUAGAGUAUGGUAGGGGUAGCGGGAAUUCCCAGUGUAGCGGUGAAAUGCGUAGAUAUUGGGAAGAACACCAGCGGCGAAAGCGCGCUACUGGGCCGAAACUGACACUCAUGGACGAAAGCUAGGGGAGCGAAAGGGAUUAGAUACCCCUGUAGUCCUAGCUGUAA